UUUCUCGAUUCAUUAGAAAAAAAUCAAGGAUUGAAAGCCUCUAUUUAUUAGUUUUUCUAUUUUCUAAAAAUCCGGAAAUCCUUAUUUUUCUAUUUUUUAUUAGUUUUUUUUUCUGUUUUGAUAGUUUCAGAAAAUUCUAAAAAAAUUCUGAAACUUCUUAUUUCACUUAAUUAGAAUAAAUUUUGUAUUUUUUUUAUUUUUAUGAAUUU
rnacentral:lncRNA from 1 species